CUGCAACAGCAACACGGUGGGACCCUGCCUUGACCGCCCCCGCCCGACCGCGGCCUCUCCCAGCAGCCGGCAGGCUCUUGGGCGCGCCGACAGAGGGGCGCGGCUGAGGCUGUUGUCGCGGCCAGUUCCCGUUCCGGGCCCGCGAGGCGGCCGCCCCGGUCCUGCCCCUCCCUCGCGCAACUGCCGCCCAGCGCCCUCCCGGGCCACGGCGCUCCCAGGCCCCGGCGCCCUCGGACCACGGCGCUCUCUGGGCUCUUCUCUAGCUCUCAGCGGCUGCGAAGUCUGUAAACCUGGUGGCCAAGUGAUUGUAAGUCAGGAGACUUUCCUUCAGUUUCUGCCUUUGAUGGCAAGAGGUGGAGAUACCUGUCUAUGGCGGCGAUUACAGAAAACAUCUGGGAAGACAAGUCGCUGUUUUUAUGGGAAUCGCAGGCUUGGAAGAGACAGAAGCAAUUCCAGAAAGAAAUUGGAAAUUGAAGAUUUAAAGAAUGUUGUUUUAAAAUAUUCUAACUUCAAAGAAUGAUGCCAGAAACUUAAAAAGGGGAUGCACAGAGUAGCAGGGGCCCUGGAGGGUAGGGCCUGAAUCCUGAUUGCCCUACUGCUGGGAGGACACACGCAGCCGAAGAUGAAUUUGGGAAAAGUAGCCACUUGCUACUUUAACUAUGGAAGAGCAGGGCCACAGUGAGAUGGAAAUAAUCCCAUCAGAGUCUCACCCCCACAUUCAAUUACUGAAAAGCAACCGGGAACUUCUGGUCACUCGCAUCCGCAACACUCAGUGUCUGGUGGACAACUUACUGAAGAAUGACUACUUCUCCACCGAGGACGCCGAGAUUGUGUGUGCCUGCCCCACCCAGCCUGACAAGGUCCGCAAAAUUCUGGACCUGGUACAGAGCAAGGGCGAAGAGGUAUCCGAGUUCUUCCUCUACUUGCUCCAGCAACUCACAGAUGCUUAUGUGGACCUCAAGCCUUGGCUGCUGGAGAUCGGCUUCUCCCCUUCCCUGCUCAUUCAGAGCAAAGUCGUGAUCAACACUGACCCAGUGAGCAGGUACACCCAGCAGCUGCGACACCACCUGGGCCGUGACUCCAAGUUCAUGCUGUGCUAUGCCCAGAAGGAGGAGCUGCUGCUGGAGGAGAUCUACAUGGACACCAUCAUGGAGCUGGUCGGCUUCAGCAAUGAGAACCUGGGCAACCUGGACAGCCUGGCCUGCCUCCUGGACCACACCACCGGCAUCCUCAAUGAGCAGGGCGAGACCAUCUUCGUCUUGGGCGAUGCUGGGGUGGGCAAGUCCAUGCUGCUGCAGCGGCUGCAGAGCCUCUGGGCCACCGGCCGGCUAGACGCAGGGGUCAAAUUCUUCUUUCACUUUCGCUGCCGCAUGUUCAGCUGCUUCAGGGAAAGUGACAGGCUGUGUCUGCAGGACUUGCUCUUCAAGCACUACUGCUACCCGGAGCAGGACCCCGAGGAGGUGUUCGCCUUUCUGCUGCGCUUCCCCCAUGUGGCCCUCUUCACCUUUGACGGCCUGGACGAGCUGCACUCGGACUUGGACCUGAGCCGCGUGCCUGACAGCUCCUGCCCCUGGGAGCCUGCCCACCCCCUGGUCCUGCUGGCCAACCUGCUCAGCGGGAAGCUGCUCAAGGGGGCUAGCAAGCUGCUUACAGCCCGCACAGGCAUCGAGGUCCCGCGCCAGUUCCUGCGGAAGAAGGUGCUUCUCCGGGGCUUCUCCCCCAGCCACCUGCGCGCCUAUGCCAGGAAGAUGUUCCCCGAGCGGGCUCUGCAGGACUACCUGCUGAGCCAGCUGGAGGCCAACCCCAACCUCUGCAGCCUGUGCUCUGUGCCCCUCUUCUGCUGGAUCAUCUUCCGGUGCUUCCAGCACUUCCGUGCCGCCUUCGAAGGCUCACCACAGCUGCCCAACUGCAUGAUGACCCUGACGGACGUCUUCCUGCUGGUCACUGAGGUCCACCUGAACAGGAUGCAGCCCAGCAGCCUGGUGCAGCGGAACACACGCAGCCCGGUGGAGACCCUCCGCGCCGGCCGGGACACUCUGUGCUUGCUGGGGCAGGUGGCCCACCGGGGCAUGGAGAGGAGCCUCUUUGUCUUCACCCAGGAGGAGGUGCAGGCCUCCGGUCUGCAGGAGGGAGACAUGCAGCUGGGCUUCCUGCGGGCUUUGCCGCAGCUGGGCCCCGGGGGCGACCAGCAGUCCUAUGAGUUUUUCCACCUCACCCUCCAGGCCUUCUUUACAGCCUUUUUCCUCGUGCUGGACGACAGGGUGGGCACUCGGGAGCUGCUCAGGUUCUUCCAGGAGUGGAUGCCCCCUGGGGGGACAGCAGCCGCGUCCUGCUAUCCUCCCUUCCUCCCGUUCCAGUGCCUGCGGGGCAGCAGUCUAUCGCGGGAAGACCUCUUCAAGAACAAGGAUCACUUCCAGUUCACCAACCUCUUCCUGUGCGGGCUGUUGUCCAAAGCCAAACAGAAGCUCUUGCGGCACCUGGUGCCCGCGGCGGCCCUGAGGAGGAAGCGCAAGGCCCUGUGGGCACACCUGUUUUCCAGCCUGCGGGGCUACCUGAAGAGCCUGCCCCGAGUUCAGGUCGAAAGCUUCAACCAGGUGCAGGCCAUGCCCACGUUCAUCUGGAUGCUGCGCUGCAUCUAUGAGACACAGAGCCAGAAGGUGGGGCAGCUGGCGGCCAGGGGCAUCUGCGCCAACUACCUCAAGCUGACCUACUGCAACGCCUGCUCCGCCGACUGCAGCGCCCUGUCCUUCGUCCUGCAUCACUUCCGCAAGCGGCUGGCCCUAGACCUGGACAACAACAAUCUCAAUGACUACGGCGUGCGGGAGCUGCGGCCCUGCUUCAGCCGCCUCACUGUUAUCAGACUCAGCGUAAACCAGAUCACUGACGGUGGGGUAAAGGUGCUAAGCGAAGAGCUGACCAAAUACAAAAUUGUGACAUAUUUGGGUUUAUACAACAACCAGAUCACCGAUGUCGGAGCCAGGUACGUCACCAAAAUCCUGGAUGAAUGCAAAGGCCUCACACACCUUAAACUGGGAAAAAACAAAAUAACGAGUGAAGGAGGGAAGUGUCUCGCCCUGGCUGUGAAGAACAGCAAAUCAAUCUCUGACGUUGGGAUGUGGGGCAAUCAAGUUGGGGAUGAAGGAGCAAAAGCCUUCGCAGAGGCUCUGCGGAACCACCCCAGCUUGACCACCCUGAGUCUUGCAUCCAAUGGCGUCUCCACAGAAGGAGGAAAGAGCCUUGCGAGGGCCCUGCAGCAGAACACGUCUCUAGAAAUACUGUGGCUGACCCAAAAUGAACUCGACGAUGAAGUGGCAGAGAGUUUGGCAGAAAUGUUGAAAGUCAACCAGACGUUAAAGCAUUUAUGGCUUAUCCAGAAUCAGAUCACAGCUAAGGGGACUGCCCAGCUGGCAGAUGCGUUACAGAACAACACUGGCAUAACAGAGAUUUGGCUUAUGGAGGCUACAGGUGACCUUAGUGAGACUCAGUGAACAAAGGGAUGGCAGCUGGAGAGGAUCCAUGCCCAUAUGAAGGAACUAUCUGAAAAGGCCUAAAUGGGAACCUGAUAAAACCAGAGGAAGCCAAAGUCUAUGAAGAUGAGAAGCGGAUUAUCUGUUUCUGAGAGGAUGCUUUCCUGUGCAUGGGGUUUAUGCCCCAGAACCUCAGCAGCGAAUGCGACUCCGGGCAGUCUCUUGUGUCAGUGUCUUAAAGGGGCCUGCGGAGGUGAGACUAUCAGGAGUCCACUGCCUCCAUGAUGCAAGCCAGCUUCCUGUGCAGAAGGUCUGGUUGGCAAACUCCCUAAGUACCCGCUACAAUUCUGCAGAAAAAGAAUGUGUCUUGUGAGCUGUUGUAGUUACAGUAAAUACACUGUGAAGAGACUUUAUUGCCUAUUAUAAUUAUUUUUAUCUGAAGCUGGAGGAAUAAAGCUGUGACCCGAACAGAGGAGGCCAGCCUCAGCUCAUUCCAAUGCCUGCCAUAGGGACCAACGGGAGCAAGUCGGUCACUGCUGUUUUCAUUGAAGAGUUGAGGAUGUGGCAUAAAGUUGGUGCCAAGCUUCUUGAAUAAAAGGUGUUUGAUGGAUAAGUAUUAUACCUGAAAUAUUUUCUUCCUUCUCAGCACUUUCCCAUGUAUUGAUUACUGGUCCCAUUUCACAGCUGGAGACACUGGGGUAUAUGCAGUGUGGGAUUUGACUCCUCCAAGAUUUUGUGGAAAGUUAGUGUCAAGGAAAGGGCGCACCACAAGCUUUUAAUUUUAAUCCUGGAGUCUCACUGUCUGCUGGCGAAGAUCAGAGAAUGCCCUCUUAGCUCUUAGCUGGUGUAAGAAGAAUGACGAUGCCUUCAAACUGCUGCUUCCACUCAGGGCUUCUCUGCUAGGCUACCCUCCUCUGGAAGGCUGAGUACCGUGGGCUACAGCGUCCGGCCUCGGGAAGAAUUGAUUCUGUCCCCGCAAAGAAACAGGGCAUGGCUUGCCUUUGUGGCCCUGGCAUCCAAAUGGCUGCUUUUGUCUCCCUUACCUCGUGAAGAGGGGAAGUCUCUUCCUGCCUCCCGAGCAGUUGAAGGGUGACUAAACUGGCGCCAAGACUUGGGGGAUCAGCUGGGAACGGGGCCAGCAGAGCAUGUUGGACACCCCCCACCAUGGUGGGCUUGUGGUGGCUGCUCAUGAGGGUGGGGUGAUAUUACUAGAUCACUUGUCCUCUUGCCAGCUCAUCUGUUAAUAAAAUACUGAAAACACUCUUA